CCCGCACAAGCAGCGGAGCGUGUGGUUUAAUUCGAUGCAACGCGAAGAACCUUACCAAGGCUUGACAUGUCGGAAGUAGCGACCCGAAAGGGAAGCCACCUGUUAAGUCAGGAACCGUCACAGGUGCUGCAUGGCUGUCGUCAGCUCGUGCCGUGAGGUGUUGGGUUAAGUCCCGUAACGAGCGCAACCCUCGUUGCCAGUUAUUUUCUCUGGCGAGACUGCCCCGCAAGACGGGGAGGAAGGUGAGGAUGACGUCAAGUCAGCACGGCCCUUAUGCCUUGGGCUACACACACGCUACAAUGGGUGGUACAAAGGGUAGCAAUGGAGCAAUCCGGAGCCAAUCCUAAAAGCCAUCCUCAGUUCGGAUUGCAGGCUGAAACUCGCCUGCAUGAAGUUGGAGUUGCUAGUAACCGCAGGUCAGCACACUGCGGUGAAUACGUUCUCGGGCCUUGUACACACCGCCCGUCACGUCAUGAAAGCCGGCAACACCUGAAGUCGAUGGGCUAACCCCAGCUUGCUGGGGAGGCAGUCGCCGAGGGUGGGGUUGGUGAUUGGGACGAAGUCGUAACAAGGUAGCCGUAGCGGAAGCUGCGGCUGGAUCACCUCCUU
rnacentral:rRNA from 1 species